CUUCAUGACAGUUGCCUAGGGUUACAGCAGCGCUCCAAGAACCAAUUUUUUUUAUGCCUUGCACGCAGAGUAGGUCAGGAAACCCCUGUUGUGCAGCUGUGUCUGACAGUGCAGCACAGACGAUCUCUGCUCCCUUGACUCACCGUCUCUGAAACACAGCACCAUGUGACAUCUUAUGACAUCUCCUCUGCCUCUGGUUUGUGUCAGCAUUGCUACGAGGACACGAGUCAAUGAACACGCCCUGACCACUGAACUGUAAAGUCUUUGGGAACUCCUGUAGGGGCCCGGUGCUGGAGGGGCAUGAGCCAGAGCACAGGGAUGAGCCAUCAACCACAUCAGCUGGAUAUACCUGGGGAGGUAUCUUAACGAUCUGAGAACUGGACCUUGCAGAUUGUCUCUGGAUGUUUUCCCCGCUCUCUGCUGAUGGAGCUAAGUGAAGACAACAAGCUGCUCUUCUCUAUCGCUACCACCCACCACUAUCUGACAUGCUGCAUGAUAAUGAUGCAUGUGUGUGACUCCCGUAUCAGAACAGAGGUCUUGCUGAAGCCAUUCAUGCAUGUCUGUGUGUUGUUUGUAUGUGAGACACGAUGAGGUGGGAAUUAACGUGCAGAUUCAUAUAUGUUCAGAUUAAUCAGGUUAAUUGUUUGAGUAACCUAUUUUCUUUAUUGAUGUGAAGAUGAGAAUGGAAAGACUUGUUGCAAGCCCUGCUCAGAAAGAGUCUUUAUGCCGAAG